ACGGAAGGCAGCAGUGGGGAAUGUUGGGCAAUGGGCGAAAGCCUGACCCAGCAACGCCGCGUGAAGGAAGAAGGUCUUCGGAUUGUAAACUUCUUUUAUGAGGGACGAAGGAAGUGACGGUACCUCAUGAAUAAGCCACGGCUAACUACGUGCCAGCAGCCGCGGUAAUAAGUAGGUGGCAAGCGUUAUCCGGAUUUACUGGGUGUAAAGGGCGCGUAGGCGGGGAUGCAAGUCAGAUGUGAAAUCUAUGGGCUUAACUCAUAAACUGCAUUUGAAACUGUGUCUCUUGAGUGCUGGAGAGGUAGAUGGAAUUCCUUGUGUAGCGGUGAAAUGCGUAGAUAUAAGGAAGAACACCAGUGGCGAAGGCGAUCUACUGGACAGUAACUGACGCUGAGGCGCGAGAGCGUGGGGAGCAAACAGGAUUAGAUACCCUGGUA
rnacentral:rRNA from 1 species